UACGUAGGAGACGAGCGUUGUCCGGAGUUACUGGGCGUAAAGGGUGCGCAGGUGGCGGCGCGCGUGGGGGGUGAAAUCGCCCGGCUUAACUGGGCGGGGGCCUUCCAGACGGCGUGGCUUGAGCAGCGGAGGGGGACGUGGAAUUCCGGGUGGAGCGGUGAAAUGCGCAGAUAUCAGGAGGAACACCAAUUGGCGAAGGCAGCUCGCUGGGACGUUACUGACGCUGGAGAACGCGAAAGCGUGGGGAGCAAACAGG
rnacentral:rRNA from 1 species